GAGGAUUAUAAAAUUGUAUUGUAUAAAUAUUUGUGCGUCUCUAUAAAAGGCGUGAAGAAGAAUUGCGAGAGAUUGAUGGGAAGAAGAAGGUGGUGGGUAGGGACAAAACCGACAGAAUCAUGAUUGUCGGGGAAGCGUGGGGUGCAAUUAUUGGUUCCUUCCUCUGAUUUCGGACUCGUCAUGUCCGCAUCAGAUUCCUCCUCCGUACACCUCUCUCUCUCUCUAACCCUAAUCUCUUGCUUCUUUCUUCUUUCUCUGUAAAACUCCAAUCUCCUCUUGUCCAAAUCAAAUUCAUAAAAUCCAGAGGCUCUAAAAUACGCACAGAAACACCAACGAUGGCAAUUUAACCAAUCUCGUUGGUGUUUCUCUCUCUGUAAACUCCAUCUUCUCUUGUCCAAAUCAAAUUCAAAAAAUCCAGAGGCUCUAAAAUACGCACAGAAAAACCAACGACGGCUCUGAAAAGGUAGCAACAAUCGAAUUAAAUGAGUCUUGCCAUUCCCCAGCCCCAGAUUUAUUCUUUGUUCCUUCCGUGAAUACGCGAAUCUCUUUCACUGUAGCACCUGGUUCCGCGGCAUGUAGAGAUGGGAUGAUAAAGCGAGCUCUCUUUGAUUGCAAUUGGCAGAGAUGAAAUACAAGGCCAAACCCAAUGAUACGGACCUAUUUGUUAUAUCUACUUAAUGUUUCACUUAAAAAUAUAAAGCAGUCUUGUCAAUAGCAUUUUUGUAGUGAAGCGGCCAGGAGAUUAUUUAUUACCCUAUUGUUCACUUUGGAAGAGAAAAGGAAGGAAUAAUCUUUUUAUUAAUGAAUUGUCAAAGUACAUCA
rnacentral:lncRNA from 1 species